rnacentral:rRNA from 1 species
UACGGGGGGAGCAAGCGUUGUUCGGAUUUACUGGGCGUAAAGGGCGCGUAGGUGGCCCGGUCAGUUCGUGGUGAAAGCGCGGGGCUCAACCCUGCGUCGGCCAUGAAUACUGCCGCGGCUGGAGCACUGUAGAGGCAGGCGGAAUUCCGGGUGUAGCGGUGGAAUGCGUAGAGAUCCGGAAGAACACCGGUGGCGAAGGCGGCCUGCUGGGCAGUUGCUGACACUGAGGCGCGACAGCGUGGGGAGCAAACAGG